rnacentral:rRNA from 1 species
UAACAUAAGUAACCUGGCCUUUACAGGGGGAUAACUAUUGGAAACGAUAGCUAAGACCGCAUAGGUGUCAUAACCGCAUGGAGGUGAUAUGAAAUAUGCUACGGCAUAGGUAGAGGAUGGACUUAUGACGCAUUAGCUAGUUGGAGGGGUAACGGCCCACCAAGGCGACGAUGCGUAGCCGACCUGAGAGGGUGACCGGCCACACUGGGACUGAGACACGGCCCAG